UACGUAGGUGGCAAGCGUUGUCCGGAUUUAUUGGGUUUAAAGGGUGCGUAGGCGGUCAUGUAAGUCAGUGCUGAAAUAUCCCGGCUUAACCGGGAGGGUGGCAUUGAUACUGUAUGACUUGAGUAAAGUUGAGGUUGGCGGAAUUGACGGUGUAGCGGUGAAAUGCUUAGAUAUCGUCAAGAACACCUAUUGCGAAGGCAGCUAACUAAGCUUUAACUGACGCUGAGGCACGAAAGCGUGGGGAGCAAACAGG
rnacentral:rRNA from 1 species